rnacentral:rRNA from 1 species
AUUGAACGCUGGCGGCAGGCCUAACACAUGCAAGUCGAGCGGGGUUUUCGGACCUAGCGGCGGACGGGUGAGUAAUGCGUAUGCAAUCUACCUUUUACAGAGGGAUAGCCCAGAGAAAUUUGGAUUAAUACCUCAUAGUAUAUAGACCUGGCAUCAGGAUUAUAUUAAAGUCACAACGGUAAAAGAUGAGCAUGCGUCCC